rnacentral:ncRNA from 1 species
UUUAUGGAGAGUUUGAUCCUGGCUCAGGACGAACGCUGGCGGCGUGCCUAAUACAUGCAAGUCGAGCGGACGGAUGGGAGCUUGCUCCCAGAAGUUAGCGGCGGACGGGUGAGUAACACGUGGGCAACCUGCCCUAUAGUUGGGGAUAACUCCGGGAAACCGGGGCUAAUACCGAAUGAUACAUUUCAUCUCCUGUUGAAAUGUUGAAAGAUGGUU